AGACAGAAGAUUUUGUAUAUCCUGAGUUGAAAAAGCUGGAAAUUUCGUCUUGCGAAAUAUACCCAUACGUAUUACCCACCUGUCCGAAGCUCAAAUCGUUGAUAUUGUGUUUUAAUGAAUAUAAAAAUAACGUUAAAAUACAAGAUAUUACAACAAAGUACGCAAAGACGCUGGAACGCUUAAAAAUCAGAAAAUACCCUGUGGGAAUUAAAUUCAAUAAUUUAAUAGAAGUUCUCAGAGAGUGUACAAAAGUGCAGCACCUUUGUAUAGACUUUGUAAUUCCAACAUUUUGCCAAAACCUGGACUCUUUUAUUGAAGUAUUAAAGGCUAAUGGCUUCAAUCCACAAAGACUUUUUGAAUUGGCAUUCAUUUAUAAUGACCACUGUACUCUGCGCAAAUUGGAGACAGAACAUGCAAACUCCGAUGUGUGGAAUUUAAUUAAAAUUACCGGAUUGUAUUGAAGAAUAAAUAAAAAGCUAGUUAAUACCACGCCCCUCCCCAGACACAUCUGUUGGUCUCGUGCAAGCUCGAUUGCCUAACCAAAACCAAACAAAGCUUCUCCUACCCACCAGCCGCACAGAGAGAUCUCGACUAAAUUACGUGCCAAUCAACCACUUGGAAGAUGACAAUGGGCCGGAGACGAUAAGACGGAGACAAGGCGACAAUGCGACACGGCUGUCUACGCAGGACAAACUUAUUUGUUUAACAGACAGACAGACGGACGCGUACUGCGAGACAAG